UAAGAGCUGAAGCUCCAAUCUGGGGAAGAAAAAAAAAAUCUUGUGUGCCUGAAGGAAAUGGAAAUGGGGUGGGAAUUGGUAUCUGUGUCAUCCAGAAAGUCUGCUGGCUGACAGGGUAGGUGUCAGCAUUUUUACAGCAAAGUUCCCAGGGGAAUGCUGCUCUGGAGCAGAACUGCAGCUUCCCAGCAGGGCUGUGAGCUUUGCCAUCUCUUUGGGAUUCAGGAAUUGGCUGUCACUGCCUCGAAGUCUCUCAGACCAGGUUAAACACAAGCACCAUGUAAAGUGUGGCACCUGUAAAAUAUUUAUCCCAACCAUCUGGACCAGGUUGUGAAUCCUGACUCACUUUGAAUGUGUGAAUGGGGUAGGACUGGCAGAGCCCAGGGGACUCCAUGCGCUUAUGGAUAGUGGCAGGAAAAGACCCCUUCCCACAUGAGUAACACUCCAUUUUCCUCUGCCACCAGUGCAAGUGCCACGCUGGAGUCUCAAAGCCCAGUUGCUCUGCACAAGCUGAUAAAAACUCCAUGGAUUUUAUGGGUCAGAUUUACCUCAGUAGAGCUGAGCAACUUCCAGAUUAUUGUGCCUAGAUUUUGUCCUACAUUUUAAAGGAGCUGACUGAGCUGGGAGAGUUUUCCUUUCAGUCACACUGUACAGAAACACCUGAGGCAUUCAGGUAUGCAUGCCCUGCUUAUUUUCUGUCAGGACUUGUUGCAUUAACAUCGAAGGACUAUCCUUUAACAUCAGCUCCUGUUUUUCCCAUAUGUGAAACAAGGAGAGCUCCCAGUCUUUUGUAAUUCUGGAUUUGGGGGGUUUAUAAGUGAUAAAUUUCAUGUAAAUAAUGUGAAUGAAAGAUUUAAACUAGUGUGGAAUAUAAUAUUCCUCUUUAAAAAAAAAAUAAAAGCUCUAUUUAUUUAGACA
rnacentral:lncRNA from 1 species